CACCGUCGGGAAUGGUGCUGG
rnacentral:misc_RNA from 1 species